rnacentral:rRNA from 1 species
UACGUAGGGUGCGAGCGUUAAUCGGAAUUACUGGGCGUAAAGCGUGCGCAGGCGGUUCGUUAUGUCCGAUGUGAAAGCCCCGAGCUUAACUUGGGAAUGGCAUUGGAAACUGGCGGGCUGGAGUGCGGCAGAGGGGGGUGGAAUUCCACGUGUAGCAGUGAAAUGCGUAGAGAUGUGGAGGAACACCGAUGGCGAAGGCAGCCCCCUGGGCCGACACUGACGCUCAGGCACGAAAGCGUGGGAGCAAACAGG